rnacentral:lncRNA from 1 species
CCUCUUCAUUGGAAUAUUCUCUUGAAUCUUCCAAAAGGUGCUUGUACAAACACCUUUGUAUAUCUUUUUCUUCACUUUUGAGGAUCAAACACCACCUUUUGAAAAAGAAUUAAGAUGAAGAUUUAAAUCUUUCUCAAGAACACCAAGAACUUCAAAAAUUUCUAACUUUUAAAUCCUUGAUCUGAAUGGGAUGAAAUUUUGAACCAAAGCUCUUUUCCACCUCCA